rnacentral:lncRNA from 1 species
UUAUAUAGUUAAUUAGUGUUCAUCAUCUUCUUAAUUUAUUUUGUAAACGAUAAAGUAUUAAGCUUACUGUGGCGAAGAACUCAGUAGUAUAUUAUUGGAUCAUAAACAAGAGGAGGUAGAAUGGUCCAAAAGGGAGUGGUUCAUGAUCGACAUGCAUGUGAAAAGCAGAGGGUCACUUAUUGUUCAUGUCUAGUAGGUGAAUAUAUAUACCUAAUCUGAUAAUCUAACCCACGUCUGGAAGGAUUAUUUGUGUAAAGCAAGAGGCAAAGAAACUAUGGAGCUGUUANNNNNNNNNNNNNNNNNNNNCCAUAGCCUAAGUUGUCCUAAGUAGGUUUUCUUUCUUUCUUAUUUAAAGAUCAUGGCAUUUUUUUUAUUUAUCUGUUAAAUGAAGGUAAUUCAUUCAAAGAAAAUUUUACUGAUAGAUUGUAACAAUAAAAUCAAUGCCAUAAUAUCAUGCAUGGGCCUAUCUUCUAGUGUCUGAUAAGAGAGCUAUGAACGGUACACCAUGAGACUGAAAAAUUGACCAUAGCAAUCAUGGAGACUCUAAGACCGAUACAGUGCCAACAAAUUAAAAAUGGUAGAAAUAGUGCCGGUAUACCAACCAGCUAAUGACUACAAACCCACAUACAUGUGCACAAAUCAACUCCGCGAGUGAGUGAACACUGCCGGAGCUACAUUAAGACCAAAAGCUGCCAUGACACUCUCAAACCUUUUGAAGAUGGUCAAUUACACUAUUAUUGUAAGACUAAAUAGUUACAAUUAUAUAUAAUUGUAAUGAUUUGGUCAUAUUUUCAUUUAAUAAUAUGUCACAUAAUAAUGAUUAGUUUGAUAUUUUAAACUAUAUAAUCUCUUUCCUCGUUGCAUCUUGUCAUAUUCAUCAUCAUAAUCGAUUAGUUAUUAACUAAUCAUUUUACAUGCAUGUAAACUUUGAAUAUAUAAUCAUUUACAUGUACAUAAAUGAAACUAUAUAUUAACAAAAAUAAUAAGUUCAAUUUUAAUUAACCACAUAAAUUUUGACAGACAAUUUAAAAUUUUAUAUAUAUAUUUUUUUGUAUUUUAUACUCAGCCCCUCUAAACUUACAGUUCUUGCUCCACCGUUGUGAGUGAAUACAUGUCAUUAUUCAUUAAGUGAAAUCUGACAUUGUGAUUAACUUUCUACAGAUCGGACAUGAUAUAAUAUUGAUGAGUUUCUAUAGGAUUCUAGCAUUGUAUGAUUGAAGAGCGGAGUUCAGCUAAUCAAUAAAUUUCUGGCAUAAGAAACUUAAUAGCUAGUUAUUACGGACUGGUAUUGGGCUACCAGGCUUUGAGCGAUAAUAAUGUAAAUGUGGUUGCGUGCCCUAAUGCUCACAGUGUAAAUUAGGUGAUGACUAUCUAUCACGAUAUUGUAACUAGGUAGCUGGAGAUUCAGAUCGAUGAGUUUGAUCUAUAUCUCUGGACAGAUGAAACCAGAACAGAAAAAAAAUCAAUGCGUGUUUACUGAAUCCAUGAGAAAGAUAAACUCUAGCUAUAUGCAGGUUUCCACUUGGUUAAGGCAUUUUUUUUUUUCAAUUACUUUAAGAAAGUGCAAAACUACAACAUACACCUCUAGGAUCUCCAUUUCCAACUGAUGAAAACGGNNNNNNNNNNNNNNNNNNNNAUUAAACAUAGUUACGGAUUUGUUAAAUAGAAAGGACGAUGCAUUUAGAUAUUAGCAAAUGUAUAUAAGAGAAGUUUAAUUACCAGUGCCCAAACUAAAUAAGGCAUUCCUCCUAUGAGAUAGAGCACAACUCCACAAGCAAUACAGUGAUAAGGGUAAGUGUAAUGAAGAAACUUAUAGAAGCUUUGUUUCUUCAAAUCUCCAACAUUGUAUAGUUUUCCAUCAUACUGCACAAUUUCAAAUUUAAUUAACAAUAAGUAUGUGUUAAUUCAACAACAAAAUUAUGCAUGUAAUUAAUCAAGUGAGGAGAACAUGAGAUUUCUACGUACACUCCCAAAACGUUUACGAAAAUCAAAAAUCCAGCCAAUAUGACUAAACCAGAAACCCUUAAGAGGAGUAUGAGGGUCACUCGGCGUGUCUGUAAACUGGUGAUGACUCCUGUGCGAGCUAACCCAUUCUAAUGGACUUCCCUGUAAUAUAAACACCAAAAUCCAACUUCAAAACUUUGUAAUGAAGAUUGUAGUAACUAAAAGUGUAAAGAAUGAAAGCUAGAGAAUAUAUGAUGAACCUGAAGUGAAUGAACGGCACAAUAGGCGAAGAAGUAUUCCAGCCAUUUGGGAAGCUUGAAGCUUUUGUGGGCGAGAUUUCUAUGGAAAGAUAGAGUUAUUCCCACACCGGUGACAAAGUAAAGGGCUACACCCAACCAAAACGCAGACCAGGUGAAGUAAAAUGGUGCGAGAAGAGCAAUGAGAUGAACAACAGAAAGGGUGAUGACACUAGCGAUGUCGACGCCAUUCCAUUGUCUCCCCAGAAAAUAUACAGGCUUCUGCACCACCCAAAGUAGCCUUGCCAUCUUCUUUAAGCUAAGCUUAUAUUAUCAAAGCUGCUUUGCUAGCUUCUCUCUUCUGUAGUUGUGUGUAGAAGUAUCAGUGUUUGCACAUAUAUAUACACAAAUACAAUAUACAUAUGAAGGGGGAAGCUAGUUAUGGGAGUUGCUUGUUAGAUUGAGAUAUUGGACUUGCAUUUACUUCCUCAUGUUCUGCAGGCAACCUACCGAUGUAACGAUGCAAUAACUAUGCCUGGCUAUUUACCUGAAGACAAAUACUUGUGUGUCUUAAGAUAUAGAUAUCUUAACCACAUGGUUGCUUGGAUCAUAAACAAGAGAAGGUAGAAUGGUCCAAAAGGGAGUGGUUCAUGAUCGACAUGCAUGUGAAAAGCAGAGGGUCACUUAUUGUUCAUGUCUAGUAGGUG